CCUACGGGUGGCAGCAGUGAGGAAUAUUGGUCAAUGGACGAGAGUCUGAACCAGCCAAGUAGCGUCCAGGAUGACUGCCCUAUGGGUUGUAAACUUCUUUUAUGUGGGAAUAAAAUGCUCCACGUGUGGGAUUUUGUAUGUACCAUAUGAAUAAGGAUCGGCUAACUCCGUGCCAGCAGCCGCGGUAAUACGGAGGAUCCGAGCGUUAUCCGGAUUUAUUGGGUUUAAAGGGAGCGUAGGUGGAUUGUUAAGUCAGUUGUGAAAGUCUGUGGCUCAACCGUAAAAUUGCAGUGGAAACUGGCAGUCUUGAGUACAGGAGAGGUAGGCGGAAUGCGUGGUGUAGCGGUGAAAUGCUUAGAUAUCACGAAGAACUCCGAUUGCGAAGGCAGCUCACUGGACUGCAACUGACGCUGAGGCUCGAAGGUGUGGGUAUCGAACAGGAUUAGAUACCCCGGUAGUC
rnacentral:rRNA from 1 species